rnacentral:rRNA from 1 species
AACGAACGCUGGCGGCGUGGAUUAGGCAUGCAAGUCGAACGAACUGUUUAGCUUUUUCGAACAGUGAGUGGCGAAAGGGUGAGUAACGCGUGGGCAACCUGCCCUAAGGUGGGGGAUAACCUGUCGAAAGACGGGCUAAUACCGCUUAAGCUUCCAGACUGAAAUGUUUGGAAGGAUAGAUGGGGGAUCUCUUCGGAGACCUGUCGCCUUUGGAUGGGCCCGCGUCCUAUCAGCUAGUUGGUGAGGUAAUGGCUCACCAAGGCUAAGACGGGUAGCUGGUCUGAGAGGAUGGUCAGCCACACUGGGACUGAGACACUGCCCAGACACCUACGGUGGCUGCAGUCGAGAAUCUUCCGCAAUGGGGGCAACCCUGACGGAGCGACGCCGCGUGUAGGAUGAAGGUCUUCGGAUUGUAAACUACUGUCAGCAGGGAAGAAUAGGCGCUUGG